AGAAUGAACGCUGGCGGCGUGCUUAACACAUGCAAGUCGAGCGAGGCCAGGGGGGCAACUCCCUGAGUCGAGCGGCGGACGGGUGAGUAACACGUGGGUAACCUACCCGGAAGUGGGGAAUACCUCGGGGAAACUCGAGCUAAUACCGCAUGACAUCUCGAGGACGAAAGUCCUUGUGAUCAAAGCGGGCCGCAAGGCCUCGUGCUACCGGAUGGGCCCGCGCCCGAUUAGCUAGUUGGCGAGGUAAUGGCUCACCAAGGCGACGAUC
rnacentral:rRNA from 1 species